rnacentral:lncRNA from 1 species
GGGAGUGCCCCACAUGUAGACAAAAUUGAAGGAUUGAUAAACGGAAAAGGACCUAUCACUACCAAAGCAUCUAGCCAGCUGCAAAUAAAGCCAAAGAUGGAGAAGCAAUAAUAGAAAAGCAUCUAGCCAGCUGCAUAUGGAGCCAAAGAUGAUAAGGCAAUAAUAGAAGAAAGGAGGUCCCUUUGAUGAAAAUUCAAAGAAUGCAUGUGAAAAUGUAGACCCCAGGAGGAAAAGAAUAGAGAGG